GUAGGUAAUCUACCCUUCAGAGGAGGACAACCUCAGGAAACUGAGGCUAAACCUUCAUACGUUCAUGUGCAGGGAUGCAUAUGAAGAAAGAGUUACCGUUGAGGUAGCUGCUGAAGGAUGAGCCUGCGGCCCAUCAGGUAGUUGGUGAGGUAACGGCUCACCAAGCCGAAGACGGGUAUCCGGUCUGAGAGGAUGUCCGGUCACACUGGGACUGAGACACGGCCCAGACUCCUACGGGAGGCAGCAGCAGGGAAUCUUGGGCAAUGGGCGAAAGCCUGACCCAGCGACGCCGCGUGGAGGAAGAAGUCCUUCGGGGCGUAAACUCCUGGACUGGGGGACGAGGAAGGACGGUACCCCAGUAGAAAGGGACGGCUAACUACGUGCCAGCAGCCGCGGUAAAACGUAGGUCCCGAGCGUUGUUCGGAUUCACUGGGUGUAAAGGGCGCGUAGGUGGUUGUCUGUGUCUCAUGUGAAAACUCAGGGCUCAACUCUGAGAUGGCGUGGGAAACUAGGCAGCUAGAGGACGGUAGAGGGGAGUGGAAUUCCCGGUGUAGCGGUAAAAUGCGUAGAUAUCGGGAGGAACACCGGUGGCGAAGGCGGCUCUCUGGGCCGAUCCUGACGCUGAGGCGCGAAAGCUAGGGGAGCGAACCGGAUUAGAUACCCGGGUAGUCCUAG
rnacentral:rRNA from 1 species